rnacentral:siRNA from 1 species
CACUUGUCAUUAAAUAAUUGGA